rnacentral:rRNA from 1 species
AACUUUCAACAACGGAUCUCUUGGCUCUCGCAUCGAUGAAGAACGCAGCGAACUGCGAUAAGUAAUGUGAAUUGCAGAUUUUCAGUGAAUCAUCGAAUCUUUGAACGCACCUUGCGCUCCUUGGUAUUCCGAGGAGCAUGCCUGUUUGAGUGUCAU